ACCUGGCUGGCUCAGUCAGAAGAGCACAAGACUCUUGAUCUUGGGGUUGUAAGUUUGAGCCCCACUUUGGGUG
rnacentral:tRNA from 1 species